rnacentral:rRNA from 1 species
GACGAACGCUGGCGGCGUGCUUAACACAUGCAAGUCGAACGGAAAGGCCCUGCUUUUGUGGGGUGCUCGAGUGGCGAACGGGUGAGUAACACGUGAGUAACCUGCCCUUGACUUUGGGAUAACUUCAGGAAACUGGGGCUAAUACCGGAUAGGAGCUCCUGCUGCAUGGUGGGGGUUGGAACGUUUCGGCGGUUGGGGAUGGACUCGCGGCUUAUCAGCUUGUUGGUGGGGUAGUGGCUUACCAAGGCUUUGACGGGUAGCCGGCCUGGGAGGGUGACCGGCCACAUUGGGACUGAGAUACGGCCCAGACGCCUACGGGAGGCAGCAGUGGGGAAUAUUGCACAAUGGGCGGAAGCCUGAUGCAGCAACGCCGCGUGCGGGAUGACGGCCUUCGGGUUGUAAACCGCUUUCGCCUGUGACGAAGCGUGAGUGACGGUAAUGGGUAAAGAAGCACCGGCUAACUACGUG